rnacentral:rRNA from 1 species
UUCCAGUCCAAUAGCGUAUAUUAAAGUUGUUGCAGUUAAAAAGCUCGUAGUUGAAUUUCGGGGUUAGUAGGUUGGUCAUGCCUCCGGUAUGUACUGAUCUCACUGAUUCCUCCUUCCUUAUGAACCGUAAUGCCAUUAAUUUGGUGCUGCGGGGAAUUUGGACUGUUACUUUGAAAAAAUUAGAGUGUUUAAAGCAAGCUAACGCUUGAAUACAUUAGCAUGGAAUAAUGAAAUAGGACGUUCGAUCUUAUUUUGUUGGUUUCUAGGAUUGACGUAAUGAUUAAUAGGGAUAGUUGGGGGCAUUAGUAUUCAAUUGUCAGAGGUGAAAUUCUUGGAUUUAUUGAAGACUAACUACUGCGAAAGCAUUUGCCAAGGAUGUUUUCAUUAAUCAAGAACGAAAGUUAGGGGAUCGAAGACGAUCAGAUACCGUCGUAGUCUUAACCAUAAACUAUGCCGACUAGGGAUCGG